CUUAUAUGUUAUCAUUUAAGUUUUUAUUUUUAUUAAGAAUGAUUUGAAUGAUAAAACGCAUUUUUACAAUGUGAAAAACUAAAUAAUCGAUCUAUUGAUUGCUCCAAACCAUAAGCUAUUCUAUACUGAAUGUUCUACAACUUCUACAUUUGGCGAUCUGAAAUUUUGUCUAUGGCAAUUUUACCAACUGUCAAUCUGAAAAUGGAAUUCAGACCAUCACAUGAAUUUGCUCCUACUUAUUUCAUAAAACUAAAUGGUCAGGAAACCUAGUGUCCGUACUUCUGGUCCAGCGUACUUAUUUACUUAUUUAUUUUACGUGCCUAAGUAUCGACAAUGCGUGUGUGACAGUGUCAGUGAAAUAAAUCCAAAGUUGGGAAUCGUUUCUACAAACAAGUAAGCUGACAACUACAUUUAAGAGAUUCCCUGUGCCUGAAAUAUACAACUGUUAUCGAAGAGAAAUAAGUUGAAAUUAUGGUGUGGGAAACUCCAUUUGCUGAUUAUGAAAAAUGUUUCCUGACCCUUAGCACAAACAAAACCAACUUGAUGGCUGUCUGCUACCCGGUGACAAGCUGAGCGGAGCAAAUUCCCAUUGUUGCCCACAAAGGACCCUCCGAGUGCUUCGACACUACCCUAUGUUUCCCGGAGGCUGACUUUGUCCCGGAGUGUCAAGGUGCCUUCACUGUACAUCUACUGACUGCUUCCAUUUAUGACAGCCUACCAAGACAAUGCUGAUACAUGAAGACUCCUGUUUGCUGGCUUCAUCUCAAGAAUUUUGCUGCAAAAAUGGCUGCUGUCUACACGCAGCGCUACAAAAAAAAUUGAACCCCCCAUUUUUCUUCACGUUAGAUAUCAAUGACACAAGAAGAUGGAUUUAUAGUUGUGAUAACACACAUCUUUAGCUGAGAAAUAUGAAAAGGAAUCCCUAACACCGCCGAGAACGAGUGAAAAUAAUAAUGUAGUUGUACCUAAACUUCGUCAAGAGAUGACGCCACCUCCGAGAUAGAACGCGCCAACGAUGUGUCGACGUAUAAUCAUGGCGUCCGAGAUACAAAUUACCGAUCGAUUUAGAAUUUUUGGAGAAGAUUAGUGCCUGUUGGCUGCAUAAAUGCAUACCCCUGGUGAGGUUACAGUAGCUUCGCACAAGUUUAUCAGUCAUUUUACAUAGUGUUGUAAUAAAUAAGCUAACUACGUUGUUUUCGACUGCGGAGAGUAACCCUUACUACAAUAGAAUAAUAAUAAAAUAUUAUACCAUUAUAUUUUAUAAGCUACUCGAGUUUUAUUUUCUAUCUGUACAUAAUAACUAUGGAAUGAUAAAUUUAAUGUUUCAUGAUUUUUAUUUAAAACCUUCCUACGUGUAAAUAAUAACUUGAAUAAUAAAAUUAAUGUAUCACGACUAUUAUUUAAGACACCAAAGAACUACCCAAAAAUAAGCAUACUCACUCCGUUUUCACGCCAACAAAAGCCAUAAAGGCUACUUAUACAUAGAUAUUUCUAGAAAAACCGUAGUAAUCCAGGUAAACUACAUCCUGGUCACGGCACCAAAAUGUACCCUCCCCCUCAUUAUUUCUAAAUAUAUAAAUAAAUAUCCCCUUAAUAAACUACUCGUAAUAUUUGGCCUCGUAAUCGUCUAGUUAACA